UUUGUAUCGAAUGUGGUGAACAAAAAAUUCUCCUCUUGAGAAAACUGACAAUAGAGGUCCUAGGUUACAGGUUAACAGACCACACGACACAUUAGGAAGACCACAAUUUGCCUCAGACCUCCGAGCCUCUGUAUCUGUCUCUUCUUCAAAAUCCAUGUGAGGAAUCCGAUGAGAAGUGCCAACAGAAUGACUCCAAAGAUCACAGAAACAACAAGAGACUUGUGCCCUGAAAAACCUGAAAGAGGGAAUAAAAAUUAGGAGGAUCCCUAAAGUAAAUCCAAGUCCUCAGAACUCCUUUGGACCUAAACUCUCCGAACAAGAAGGAUGUAGCUAAUUGGCCCCAUAGUCACAAACCCAUGCUGUACCUGGUGGUGGUGAUUCUGAAGUUCCCAUAAGAGAAGACAAAGAGACAGAAUCUGGGACUAAUAGAGUAAAUAUUUCUCAUUCCACUUGAGAGAAACAUCUGGAUGGUCCCCCCACUGCAUCGCGUGCCGGUGUAUCCUGUCUUUGUAGGACACACCGCAAUGCCACCCUCUCUCAGCUGCCAGCUCCUCUCA